GAAAAUAAACAGCAAAAUACCGUUUUAAUGUAAAAGCGGCAAGUUGCUGUUUUUUACAAUGCAUCAUGGGAAGACUUGCUCACUUGAGUUUGAGUGGUUGAGCAACAACAGUAAGGGCACUGUAAUUUAACAGUAUUAUACCAUAUUUUUUUCUGAGCACACAAGACGACAUUUUGGAUUAUCCACAUGUGGUACGUUUGCUGCUCCAUAUGUGACUUAACUACCUGUAAAGUACUGUUAGAUUUUUAAAAUCACAUUUAAACAUUCAAUCAACACAGAACUGCAACAAUGAUUUGACUGUGUGAAUUUGAAAAGCAAGAUAUAGCUUAGCAUAAGGACUCGGUAGUCCUCACAUUACUCCUGUAGCCUGGAUGGAUAUUUUACCUGAACUUUUAGCAACAGUGCAAAGAUUGAACGUUAUAAUUUGUGGUUACCUGAACUGGUACAUAGCCCUGCAAUUUAUGACAGAUUUGAACUGCGUGCCUCUGUUUGCAACUCCAUGGUACUUACAAGAAGGAUAAUUGGAUAAUUUGGAUAUUUUCGACGAGGAUCUGACCAUGUGAAUGUCUUGAGAGGAGAAAGGGGUAACGUUAGCCUAAUUUAGCACGCUAACGAUAGCUGAAGGACUCAUUUUCAGAUCACACGCAGAUGUCUGCCACCACUGCUGAUCUUGAAAAGAUGGGUAACCUGCCUGUGACUCCUCGUUUGAUCCUGCAUGGUCCAGAUGUUACUCCGGGCCAGUGGAUGAAACA